rnacentral:rRNA from 1 species
AACGCGAAGAACCUUACCAGGUCUUGACAUCCUCUGAAACCCUAGAGAUAGGGCUUCUCCUUCGGGAGCAGAGUGACAGGUGGUGCAUGGUUGUCGUCAGCUCGUGUCGUGAGAUGUUGGGUUAAGUCCCGCAACGAGCGCAACCCUUGAUCUUAGUUGCCAUCAUUAAGUUGGGCACUCUAAGGUGACUGCCGGUGACAAACCGGAGGAAGGUGGGGAUGACGUCAAAUCAUCAUGCCCCUUAUGACCUGGGCUACACACGUGCUACAAUGGACGGUACAAAGAGCUGCAAGACCGCGAGGUGGAGCUAAUCUCAUAAAACCGUUCUCAGUUCGGAUUGUAGGCUGCAACUCGCCUACAUGAAGCUGGAAUCGCUAGUAAUCGCGGAUCAGCAUGCCGCGGUGAAUACGUUCCCGGGUCUUGUACACACCG